UACGUAGGGUGCAAGCGUUGUCCGGAAUUAUUGGGCGUAAAGAGCUCGUAGGCGGCUUGUCGCGUCGCUGUGAAAACCUGGGGCUCAACCCCGGGCCUGCAGCCGAUACGGGCAAGCUAGAAUUCGGUAGGGGAGACUGGAAUUCCUGGUGUAGCGGUGAAAUGCGCAGAUAUCAGGAGGAACACCGAUGGCGAAGGCAGAUCUCUGGGCCGUAACUGACGCUGAGGAGCGAAAGCAUGGGGGAGCGAACAGG
rnacentral:rRNA from 1 species